GGAUGUGAGUGUGAUCUGGCUGUGACAUCUGUCACCUCCUUCAUCACUAGGCUGAUUCGGCUGACCUGGCUAGCUAGGCGGGUGUCCCCUUCCUCCCUCACCACUCCAGGUGCAUCCCUCCCGAAGCUGCUCUGUCAAAGAGGAGGACCUGGCCUGAAUAGAGGAGUAGUGGUCUUCAGUUAAGAGUAUACAAUUACCUGCGCUGCCCUUCUAGAACCUCCAAACAAGCUCCCAAGAAGUUGAAGAAUUCCCAGUGUCACUUAACCUUGACUGAACAUGAGGACCCCCUGGGGACUUUUUAAAAAAAAAAAUUCUUGUUUAUUU
rnacentral:snRNA from 1 species